rnacentral:rRNA from 1 species
GUGUAUACCUUACCUUUGUUGCUUUGGCGGGCCGCCUAGCUACUGGCUUCGGCUGGUAAGUGCCCGCCAGAGAACCCCAAACCCAAACCAUUAUCAGUAUCGUCUGAGUACAAAUUUUAAUAUUUAAAACUUUCAACAACGGAUCUCUUGGCUCUGGCAUCGAUGAAGAACGCAGCGAAAUGCGAUAAGUAAUGUGAAUUGCAGAAUUCAGUGAAUCAUCGAAUCUUUGAACGCACAUUGCGCCCCUUGGUAUUCCGAGGGGCAUGCCUAUUCGAGCGUCAUUAUCACCCCUCAAGCUCCGGCUUGGUGUUGAGGCCUGCCGUCCCGGCACCCUCUAAAAUCAGUGGCAGUGCCCUCAGGCUCUAAGCGUAGUAAUUUAUCGCUACAGGGUCCCGUGGGAUGCUCGCCAGAACCCCCCCAUUUUUAAUGAUUGACCUCGGAUUAGGUAGGGAUACCCGCUGAACUUAAGCAUAUCAAUAAGCGGAGGAA